UACAGAGGGGGCAAGCGUUAUUCGGAAUUAUUGGGCGUAAAGGGCGCGUAGGCGGCCUGACAAGUGGAAGGUGAAAUCCCUCGGCUUAACCGAGGAACUGCCCUCCAAACUGUUAGACUUGAGGAUGAGAGAGGUGAGUGGAAUUCCCAGUGUAGAGGUGAAAUUCGUAGAUAUUGGGAAGAACACCGGUGGCGAAGGCGGCUCACUGGCUCAUUACUGACGCUCAGGCGCGAUAGCGUGGGGAUCAAACAGG
rnacentral:rRNA from 1 species